UGUUAGUAAUUGACUGUAUUUGAAAAUUCUUCCAUGUUCACUGCGCUGGAGGAGUAGCAGCAUCCUGAGGGCAGAGGACCAGGGUGGAGUCCAGGUCCAGGCGGAAGGCCGGGUAAAUGGGCUGCGAGAAGGCACAUGGGAAGACGUCCUCCAAGUGGCUGCGGAGUCUCCCCAGGGCCCUGCUGACCCCGCCGAAGGCCUCCGCGGGGGGGGCGGACGUCACCGAGGGCCGGGCGGCGGCCAGGACGGGAAGGCACAGCAGCGGCGCCGCCUGCUGGCGAGAGAGCCGCACAAAAACGACAGAUUGACUGAGCAAAGGUUUGAACUCAAGAACCACCUUUGUUUUGGAUCAUUUCGCCCUGCAGUUCCCCGUGUGGCCUGUAGGGUGUGCUGUUUGACCUGCAGAAAGUGUUCGUUGUCCUGAGUCUGAAGAAGUUGCGCAAUCUCCUGGUCUCGCCCGCGCAGUUCUUCCAGAUCUUUCCCCAGCGUGUCGGCAUCUCGCUGGGCGCGACCCACCAACGCUCGCUCGCGAGCCUCCACGCGCGCUCGCACCUGCAGCCAGGAACCCUUUGACCCCAGCUCGAAACCCCAAUUUGAAACCUCCAAAAGCUUCAUAUCAAAGCCCGGGUGCCGAGCUUCAGAAACAAAUUUGAAAGCCGAGUUCGGAAGCCUAGGCUAAGCUCAAAGCACAUUGGAAAACCUGAACUUUGUUCUUUGAGAUGCUGACAAGUCACCUCGGCCUUGGUCUUCUCCAGUCGUACUGCCAUGUCAGCAAAGAGCAUCUCGCUGUCCUCCAAAACGGCCGAAGCGGACGCCUGACAAUCACAUGCAGGUCAUGUCCUACUUUCCAGAGGUCCGGGAACAUCGGAUUGGAAGCCAAGUCCAAAAUACGCACCUUGAGGGCUUCCAAACUCUGCUGGAACUCCUCCAGCUCUCGCUCGCAGCUUUGGAUUUUGCACCGAACCGUCCUCUGAGACUCCUGAAGCUGAACCUGGACGCCGACAGAGAAUUUGGAUGUUCUUUGUGGAUGAUGUCUCGUCGUCUGGUUUGUUUGUUUGUCUAGGAACUUUCCCAUGCAGCACUACGUCCGUCCGUACCUGUCUCCGCGCCCUCUGCGCCUCCGCAGGGUGCGCCUCCUCUCGGUCGGCCUCGCACAGCAGACAGUCUCCGCUCCAGUCCGCCGCGGCCUCCUCCGGCUCGUCAUCGUCGCUGCAGCCGCGGCGGUGUUGCGCGUACAACCGCUGGGCGGGACACUCCACGGCGGCCACCAACUUGUGGCGCCGCAAGGAGCUCACUUCCCGAUGGGGCAAGACGUGGACCUCGCAGAAGGAGGUCAGGCACACCAUACACGACUUGGCCGCCGCCAGCUUGUUCAGCGGCGGGCAAAAGUCGCACGGCACCUGGCCCGCGACGCCCAGGUAGAGCUCUGGUGGCGGGGAGAGCUCCGACGCGGCGGCGCCGGCUUGCGUGGGCUUGAGUUUGGCCACCACCUCGGCCAGCACCGUGUUCCGGCGGAGCACCGGCCGCGGGCUGAACGCCUCGCGGCACUGCGGGCAGCUGAAGUGCGCCGGAGGCUCGGCCUGGUCCCAGUAGCCGUUGAUGCACGCCAUGCAGUAGGUGUGUCCGCACGGGAUGGACACCGGGUCCUGGAGGACGUCCAGGCAGAUGGCACAGCGGAACUGGCUCUCCGUCACCGAGAUGUUGGCGCGACACUCCAUCGGGACGGGGCGGCUAUCUGCAGGAGUCCGACUUUCGGUUUUGCGCCAACGGGAGGUAGGGAUCGAGGGGCCGGACUGCGGCACAGGGAGCAGUCGUUGUCUUAAAAUAACUCUUCCGUUCCGCUCCGUCAUCCAUUCCGUUCGAACAUGGGUAGCUGUGCCCCUGGCGUUGACUGGCAAGGCAUGUGGUCGUGACUGAAAUCAGUGUUGACUUGUAUUUUGAACGACGCUCACUUUUUAUUUAUUUUUUGCAUGAAUAGGAUGUGACAUGUGACGUCACACUGCCUAUUUCGUGCUAUUUGAGGUCAUCCCGCCACCAAGGGGAUAUUUAUGAUUGAACACAACAGUUCAAAGCAUGUCAAUAUCAAUUUAUCAUACGGAGAAGCGCACAAUGUGCAUAUCGCUCCCGGAAAGUGUGACCUCCACCUUUUUCAGUUAUGCUCCUAACUCCAUUCUGCAUGACUCUGUUAUACCGCCCCUGGUGGCCAAGCUGCAUGCACCAAAAUGUGCCAUAAACAAUGGUUCAAGCUG